rnacentral:rRNA from 1 species
AGUGAACGCUGGCGGUAGGCCUAACACAUGCAAGUCGAACGGCAGCACAGUAAGAGCUUGCUCUUACGGGUGGCGAGUGGCGGACGGGUGAGGAAUACAUCGGAAUCUACUUUUUCGUGGGGGAUAACGUAGGGAAACUUACGCUAAUACCGCAUACGACCUACGGGUGAAAGCAGGGGAUCUUCGGACCUUGCGCGAUUGAAUGAGCCGAUGUCGGAUUAGCUAGUUGGCGGGGUAAAGGCCCACCAAGGCGACGAUCCGUAGCUGGUCUGAGAGGAUGGUCGGCCACACCGGAACUGAGACACGGUCCAGACGCCUACGGGAGGCAGCAGUGUGGAAUAUUGGACAAUGGGCGCAAGCCUGAUCCAGCCAUACCACGUGUGUGAAGAAAGCCUUCGGGUUGUAAAGCCCUUUUGUUGGGAAAGAAAAGCAGCAGGUUAAUACCCCGCUGUUCUGACGGUACCCAAAGAAUAAGCACCGGCUAACUUCGUG